GAGGGCGUCGCGCUGAAAUUGCGCAUGCGCAUCCCUGGAACCCGAAGUUGGUUUGUUCCGAGCAGCGUAUUUCAAUAUCGCGCGCGGAAACCAGCUGGCUGAUGCAGUGCUUGCCAGAGUUUGCCAAAUUAAGAAAACGGUGUGAGAAAAACCCACCUUUGCUUACUAUUUACUUGAAUUUGAGUAUUAGUAGAGGAUAGAGCUGAGGUGGUAGUUGGUGUUUUGUCCUCUGUCAGAGGAACCUCUCUUACUGCUCUUGGGGAAUUGCUUUCUCUGUCUCUAUUCGUUUUCCCACUUUUGCUUCUUUUUUUCUCGCCUAAAUUCUCAGUUUAUUCCUGCAGCCCACUAACUGGGACAGGUUUUAUUGGGCUAUUUCUAUUCGUUUGGGUGCUUCCAGUUCUUUUUAUCACUUCAGUUUGCUGUUGACAUUCACUUAAUUUCUUGUCCUAUUAAGAUGCUACAAGAAGGUGGCAUAUUCAAAAAUUUUUAGUUAGAUUAAAAGACAUACUGAUUAUAAAAACUCAAACAUUAUUGGUUUUUAUUGAAUGUCACGAGCUGUUGACAGAUUUGGAACCCUUGUUUGUUAGGUGAUAAUGGACGUCUCCAGGAAAUGUAUUCACGCAAAAGUUCUGUUUUUUGCUUUUAUAUUGAUUGGUCCCUGAAGAUAUUCUUGGAGAAGAGUUUGGCACACAGAAAUAACUAAAACUUGAAAUACUCCUUGUAAUAAUAAUAAGAAAGUGUUAUGAAGUCUGCAACAAUUGGAUGGGUGAAGGAGAGGUAACACCUAGGAAUCUGGGAGAGCUGUGGCCAUAAAUUGAUAGGUAGUAAAAAGGAAGGAAUUGAACUGGAUGAAAGAUAAUGAGUUUAGUUUGGACAUGUUGAACUCAAGUGCCAUCCCUCAGCACUUGAAAAUGUAAGCUUAAAAACCAAGAGUUAAUGAGAAACAAAAUUUAAAGUAAUUAACCUUGCAGCUAUAGUUGAAGAUAGAGGAUUGAGGAAGAUAACCAGAGAGAAACGUUUUGGUGUUACAAGAGGCCUUAAUAUGGAACCAAAAAAAAAUUAACCCUGGAAGAAUUAUCAGGUUCCUCAAUUUUAAAAGAAGGAGAGUUGACAGUACCUUCUUCAUAAUAUUGCUGUGAGGAUUAAAUGAAAAUAAGUAAAGUGCAUAGAAUAGUGUCUGGCCCGAGAUUGAAUCUCUUUUAGUGAGCCUCCAAAAUGAAAAAUUAAUGGAUAAAUGGAAUAGUAAGGUUUAUUUAUUUUUGUUGAAUUGUGCUCAAUAUCUUGCCUGACACCACCUGUGAUAAAUCUGCUUUUUUUACUCUCUCUGGAAAACAUGUGAAUCACAGCUGAUGGAGAAACAAUCAUUAUCAUCAAUUCUUGUUGUCUUGGCUACCACUGGGUGGAUGGCGCUGAUUCUAACAGACGCUAGCCUGCCAAAUGCUCGGGAUGCUCCAUCAAUCACUGGGUCAAGAUCCACCUCUAGUCACACUAGAGGGAAGGACUUCUGGAGAUUGCACAGCCGGGAUAUCAGCUCAUUCCUCAAAUAACCCUAGUAAUUUUGUGGAAAUAAAAAUUUAACUACUGUAUCACACUGUGAUUUGGAAGAACUGAACUGUUAUUGUCCUAUCACAAUUUUCCUAUACAGAAGAUAGACUUUUCAGAUCUGAUGUAGUUUCUUGGUUUUGAAAGUUAAGAUCUCCUGGGAAAUGCGAAUUUCUGUUUAGAGAAUUUCCUCCCCCUCUAUCAGUCAUGUCAGAGUUGUUUUUAUUAUAACAUUUGUUUUACAAUGUAAGAUUUUCCUUUCCAUCUUGACAUAAUUGCUAGUGGUUAUCAAAACUAGGCAAUGUUGAACACGAGAACCUGAACAGAAAAGAAGUAAUGCAAAUUACUUGGUCAGAAAACCUCUCAAAGGACUUAAAUAGAUUUGGAAUGAAAGAUGCAAGACUACAUUAAAUUUAAAUAACUUGCCAUAUAAAUGUUGAAAAACAAUUACCAAAUCUUUAAAAUUGCAAGGACCAGGAUUAAAGGUUUAAAAGAAAUUCAUUUUCUCUCUUACAGAAACUUAAUCCUCCUUUUAAUGUGCUUUCUUCUCGCAACUCUGCGAUUUAUCUGUGUGUAUUUGCAUUUAUCGUAUUUUUUUCCGGUUUUUCUUCCUUAUUAUAUCGUAAUCUCCUUUGUGGGCAGGGGCCACUGCAAAUCUUUAAUUGUGCCAGAUGUCUCUGACUACUGA
ensembl:lncRNA